AAUUUUGAUUGUAUUUUAUUUUUUUGGUUUAUUGACUUUCAAUUGUAAUUUUUUGUGGAUUCAUCUAUCGUGGUAAUAAAGGAAUGAAGAUGGACUUCAAUACCACUAUUCUUGAGCAAAAGAUAUCUAAAUAAGAUCACUCGGAGGUCGGAGAUGAUGACAUUAGCAAUGUGGAUGAAGAUACCAGGCCUUAUAUUCUCGUUAGAGCUUAUUUUUUCUCAACUAGGUUUGGUUUCUAGAAUUAGCUUAUUGUUGCGUAGUAGCUCUGUUCUGUGUAGUGGUUUUUUCAAAAUGUUUCGUGAAUUAUGUAUAUCUUAAUUUGUGUAUUUGCUUAUUUAUUCAUGCUUUUAAAUGUGUAUCGUGGAUUUGAGAAAAUUAGUGGAACAGAACAGGAUAAAUUUUAUCCCACCGACAUCAAGAAUGACUAAUUAUGUUCUUCUCAAAUUCGGGGAGCUUUCUCAAACCAUGUGAGAAUGUAUGGAUUGAGGAAUGGCUCAUGCAAUGCUUGGUUUCCUGUUGCUGCAUGUUCAAUAUAUAGACGAAGUUGACGAUCUGUGAUGGACACGAUGGAACUGCGUUUUCAAAUGGAGAUUUGACCAAAGUGAGGUCUACCUAUGAUGACGAUGACCAAUGCAAAAGACAGCAACGUGGCCCAACCAUAGUUGGCUCUGAAGAUGUACCGUUUUUUCUUCUCCUACCAGCAUAAAUGAGUUUCAUAAUUUUUUUUGAAACCUGUUGUUCUUUGUUUUAUGAAAUUCCUCUUAUAAUUUUGCCUAGGCCCACAACUCUUUAGCUACCUUGCGUCUAUAAGGUCAUUUUCAUUUCUCUGUAACUUUUCUGCAGAAUGUUUUAAUUUUAACUUCGUAAUUAGAGAUUGUGGCUCUUUCUCA